AACGAACGCUGGCGGCAGGCCUAACACAUGCAAGUCGAGCGCCCUUUCGGGGGAGCGGCGGACGGGUGAGUACCGCGUGGGAAUAUGCCCUUCUCUACGGAAUAUCCUCGGGAAACUGAGAGUAAUACCGUAUACGCCCUGUGGUGGAAAGAUUUAUCGGGGAAGGAUUAGCCCGCGUUGGAUUAGGUAGUUGGUGGGGUAAUGGCCUACCAAGCCGACGAUCCAUAGCUGGUUUGAGAGGAUGAUCAGCCACACUGGGACUGAGACACGGCCCAGACUCCUACGGGAGGCAGCAGUGGGGAAUCUUAGACAAUGGGGGCAACCCUGAUCUAGCCAUGCCGCGUGAGUGAUGAAGGCCUUAGGGUUGUAAAGCUCUUUCAGCUGGGAAGAUAAUGACGGUACCAGCAGAAGAAGCCCCGGCUAACUCCGUG
rnacentral:rRNA from 1 species